UACGAAGGGGGGCUAGCGUUGCUCGGAAUUACUGGGCGUAAAGGGAGCGUAGGCGGAUAGUUUAGUCAGAGGUGAAAGCCCAGGGCUCAACCUUGGAAUUGCCUUUGAUACUGGCUAUCUUGAGUACGGAAGAGGUAUGUGGAACCUCCGAGUGAUGAGAAGGUGAAAUUCGUAGAUGAUUCGGAAGAACACCAGUGGCGAAGGCGACAUACUGGUCCGUUACUGACGCUGAGGCUCGAAAGCGUGGGGAGCAAACAGG
rnacentral:rRNA from 1 species